rnacentral:rRNA from 1 species
GUGAGGAAUUUUCCGCAAUGGGCGAAAGCCUGACGGAGCAAUGCCGCGUGAAGGAUGAAGGCCUAUGGGUUGUAAACUUCUUUUCUCAGAAAAGAAUUAUGACGGUAUCUGAGGAAUAAGCAUCGGCUAACUCUGUGCCAGCAGCCGCGGUAAGACAGAGGAUGCAAGCGUUAUCCGGAAUGAUUGGGCGUAAAGCGUCUGUAGGUUGUUUAAAAAGUAUUCUGUCAAAGAUUAGGGCUUAACCCUAGAUAGGCAGAAUAAACUUUUAAGCUAGAGUUUGGUAGAGGCAGAGGGAAUUCCCGGUGGAGCGGUGAAAUGCGUAGAUAUCGGGAGGAACACCAUAGGCGAAGGCACUCUGCUGGGCCAAUACUAACACUGAGAGACGAAAGCGAGGGGAGCAAAUGGGAUUAGAAACCCUAGUAGUCC